rnacentral:rRNA from 1 species
GACGAACGCUGGCGGCGUGCUUAACACAUGCAAGUCGAACGGAAAGGCCCUGCUUUUGUGGGGUGCUCGAGUGGCGAACGGGUGAGUAACACGUGAGUAACCUGCCCUUGACUUUGGGAUAACUUCAGGAAACUGGGGCUAAUACCGGAUAGGAGCUCCUGCUGCAUGGUGGGGGUUGGAAAGUUUCGGCGGUUGGGGAUGGAAUCGCGGCUUAUCAGCUUGUUGGUGGGGUAGUGGCUUACCAAGGUUUUGACGGGUAGCCGGCCUGGGAGGGUGACCGGCCACAUUGGGACUGAGAUACGGCCCAGACUCCUACGGGAGGCAGCAGUGGGGAAUAUUGCACAAUGGGCGGAAGCCUGAUGCAGCAACGCCGCGUGCGGGAUGACGGCCUUCGGGUUGUAAACCGCUUUCGCCUGUGACGAAGCGUGAGUGACGGUAAUGGGUAAAGAAGCACCGGCUAACUACGUG